UUACGGCUCAGUAACACGUAGGUAACCUACCCUCAGGACUGAGAUAACCCCGGGAAACUGGGGCUAAUAUAGAUAGAUAAAAGAUACUGGAAUGUUCUUUUAUCCAAAGCUUUUGCGCCUGAGGAUGGGCCUGCGUCCGAUUAGGUUGUUGGUGGGGUAAUGGCCCACCAAGCCUACGAUCAGUACGGGCAGUGAGAGCUGAAGCCCGGAGUUGGGGACUGAGACAAGGCCCCAGGCCCUACGGGGCGCAGCAGGCGCGAAACCUCUGCAAUGCGGGAAACCGUGACAGGGGGAUCCCAAGUGCUCAUGCAUUGCAUGGGCUGUUCUUUGGUCUAAGUAACCAGAGGAGUAAGGGCUGGGCAAGACCGGUGCCAGCCGCCGCGGUAAUACCGGCAGCUCAAGUGGUAGCCGCGAUUAUUGGGCCUAAAGCGUUCGUAGCCGGAUAAGUAAGUCUUUGGUUAAAUCCUGCGACUUAACCGUGGGAAAUCUAGAGAUACUGCUUGUCUUGAGACCGGGAGAGGUUGGAGGUACUCCCAGGGUAGGGGUGAAAUCCUGUAAUCCUGGGGGGACCACCUGUGGCGAAGGCGUCCAACUGGAACGGGUCUGACGGUGAGGGACGAAACCUAGGGGAGCGAGCCGGAUUAGAUACCCGGGUAGUCCUAGGCGUAAAUGAUGCGAGUUAAGUGUGGGGGCAUCUACGAGAUGGCCCUGUGCUGUAGGGUAGC
rnacentral:rRNA from 1 species